AGGCCAGAUGGGAAAAAAAGUAUGUGGAGAAUUGGGGAAUUGGCAGCCAAACUGAAGGAGAAAAUUGUGGCAAUCAUCGGAAAGUACGUGUGAGGAUGUGUUAUCACCCAGAAUGGAAGGAAAUUCCAGUGCUAAAUUGAAAAUGCAUACAACCAAACCGGAUGUGUUGACAUGGAAAAAGAAAGAUAUCAUGCAGCUGUCAGACAAAAGAAGGUGCCAAAAAGUCAGAAGCAGAAGGAAGGUCUGAGGAGCUGUCACAGAACCAGGGAAACCGAGGAGAUGGAACAGAAUGCACAGUUUGACUGAAGUUACAGAAAACUGUUAUGGCCAGUGUGUUUCCCACUGGCCAUUCCCCCAGAGU